rnacentral:tRNA from 1 species
GUACCAUUAGCUCAGCUGGAUAGAGCGUCUGGCUUCGGCCCAGAAGGUCAGGGGUUCAAAUCCUCUAUGGUACGCCA